rnacentral:lncRNA from 1 species
AGAUAUACAAUUAUAUAUUUUUUUCUAUAGAUAGAUUCUUUAAGACAUAUUUAUCAUGUUUCUAAUAUGAAGUCGCUAAACUCUAAUAUAUUAUGACAGGUGCUUGGGAAUCUGAAUGGAGUAGGAGUCGAGGCCUUGAGACGUUCUCAUUUGUUUCUGUCGCACUGUUUCUGACACACACUGAAUGCCAGCACUACCGGCUCGGUGCCAACCCAGUCCUACACUUGAGUACAGUACACCUUGUACAAAAUGUCCUAGUCUGUCUUGGGAUCACCAAAAUAUUUUGUGUAGAUUUGACCAGCAAGCAAACACCCAGAAUCUCAAAUAAUUACACAUUCUAUUCAUCAUGACGAACAAAAGCAACUUGGAUUUCAUUCUUUCCCCCACCC